GGUUUUCCCAUCAUCUGCGAUAUAGCUCAUGUCUUACAAGGACAACUGCUCCGUGUCUGUUAGCACCUAUCUCCCUUGGCUACUUUCUGGGCCAUCAGGAACAGCCACAAUGUGACCAGAAGGACCAACACCACCCUCAGGAAUGGACUAGACUCAAAACAUUGAGCCUUAAAUGACACUGCCUAAGAGAAACUCAGAUAUGGGUAGAAAUUACUGCUUCCAGAAGAGACAGCUGUGUGAUCCCAUGAGAGGCCAAGGAAGAGCAGUGCAGAGGAGCUCUACAAUCAGGUUUUACAGAAUGGAUUUCUGGCUCAUCCACGAUGUCCUGUGUGCCAAGGGGGCCUGACAGAGCAGGGCAGGAGGGCGAGGUGAGUGCAGAGUCUGAAAACAGGUUUUCUUCUCCUGGAGGUAGCCAUCCUGUUUCCGUCUUGGUACCUCAGGCUUUGUGGGGCUGUCACCCCGACGGGAGAGGAAUGGGCACCGGGCAGGUGUGCCAAGGAUGUGGAGAGAGGGCAUUUUCCUCCCUCUUUUAUGCUGGGAUCUAAGGAAGGAGAUCACUGUUCCCAUCUAUCACCUCCUCCCGGGGCCCCUCUCAGGCAGCUCCGGACACACACACGCUGCGUUCCUGCCUUCCUGCCGUGGGCUCCCUCCUGCGGCCUGUGACACACAGAGGGAGGGGCGCGGGAGGGAGGGGCCGCUGCACACCAGGUACUGGAACGCUCUCCACUCACCUGCGCAGGUUCCUGUAAGCCCUGACUCAAGGCCAGGCCUGCCCGGAACCUGCGGGAGAGCUCGGCCCGCGGGGCGGGGCCCGGCUGGGGUGCGGCUGUUCACGCACGCAUGACGCUGAGAGGGCGAUUCAACUCAUCACCGCAGCGCCGACAGCAGCUAAGUAAAGGCUGCAGUCUGAAUCUUCCCUCAAAGUCUCUUCCUGUCAUUAAUGCUCCUAAUAAGGUUAAAAUAAAUAAAUUUAUAUUAAAAGAAAUAGCAAAUCUUUGGUGCCAAUA